rnacentral:misc_RNA from 1 species
AACUUUUUACAAUGGAUCUCGUGGCUCUCGCAUCGAUGAAGAACGCAGCGAAAUGCGAUAAGUAAUGUGAAUUGCAGAUUUUCAGUGAAUCAUCGAAUCUUUGAACGCACCUUGCGCCCCUUGGUAUUCCGAGGGGCACACCCGUUUGAGUGUCGUGAAUACUCUCAACCUUCUUGGUUUCUUUGACCACGAAGGCUUGGACUUUGGAGGUUUUUCUUGCUGGCCUCUUUAGAAGCCAGCUCCUCCUAAAUGAAUGGGUGGGGUCCGCUUUGCUGAUCCUCGACGUGAUAAGCAUUUCUUCUACGUCUCAGUGUCAGCUCGGAACCCGCUUUCCAACCGUCUUUGGACAAAGACAAUGUUCGAGUUGCGACUCGACCUUACAAACCUUGACCUCAAAUCGGGUGAGACUACCCGCUGAACUUAAGCAUAUCAAUAAGCGGAGG